GAGUAACACGUGGGCAACCUGCCUGUAAGUUGGGGAUAACUCCGGGAAACCGGGGCUAAUACCGAAUGAUAAAGUGUGGCGCAUGCCACGCUUUUGAAAGAUGGUUUCGGCUAUCGCUUACAGAUGGGCCCGCGGUGCAUUAGCUAGUUGGUAGGGUAAUGGCCUACCAAGGCAACGAUGCAUAGCCGACCUGAGAGGGUGAUCGGCCACACUGGG
rnacentral:rRNA from 1 species